GAUGAACGCUAGCGGCAGGCCUAAUACAUGCAAGUCGGACGGGAUUCAGGAGCUUGCUUCUGAUGAGAGUGGCGCACGGGUGCGUAACACGUAUGUAACCUACCUUUAUCAGGGGGAUAGCCUCUCGAAAGAGAGAUUAAGCCCGCAUAAAAUCACAGCACAGCAUUGUGUAAUGAUCAAAUAUUUAUAGGAUAAAGAUGGGCAUGCGGAACAUUAGCUAGAUGGCGGGGUAACGGCCCACCAUGGCGACGAUGUUUAGGGGAUCUGAGAGGAUGGCCCCCCACACUGAUACUGAGACACGGACCAGACACCUACGGGAGGCAGCAGUAAGGAAUAUUGGUCAAUGGGCGGAAGCCUGAACCAGCCAUGCCGCGUGCAGGAAGACGGCCCUACGGGUUGUAAACUGCUUUUAUACGGGAAUAAACCCAGAUACGUGUAUCUGGCUGAAUGUACUGUAAGAAUAAGGAUCGGCUAACUCCGUG
rnacentral:rRNA from 1 species